rfam:Candidatus Pacearchaeota archaeon CG1_02_30_18 cg1_0.2_scaffold_1608_c, whole genome shotgun sequence.
AGCCCCUUAUUACAGUGGUCAAGUAUGCAAGCCUUUGAAGCUUGAGACCCAGGUUCGAAUCCUGGAGGGGCUA